rnacentral:ncRNA from 1 species
CACACUGGGACUGAGACACGGCCCAGACUCCUACGGGAGGCAGCAGUGGGGAAUUUUCCGCAAUGGGCGAAAGCCUGACGGAGCAAUGCCGCGUGGAGGUGGAAGGCCUACGGGUCGUCAACUUCUUUUCUCGGAGAAGAAACAAUGACGGAAUCUGAGGAAUAAGCAUCGGCUAACUCUGUGCCAGCAGCCGCGGUAAGACAGAGGAUGCAAGCGUUAUCCGGAAUGAUUGGGCGUAAAGCGUCUGUAGGUGGCUUUUCAAGUCCGCCGUCAAAUCCCAGGGCUCA